rnacentral:rRNA from 1 species
CAGUCGAACGAACUCUGGUAUUGAUUGGUGCUUGCAUCAUGAUUUACAUUUGAGUGAGUGGCGAACUGGUGAGUAACACGUGGGAAACCUGCCCAGAAGCGGGGGAUAACACCUGGAAACAGAUGCUAAUACCGCAUAACAACUUGGACCGCAUGGUCCGAGCUUGAAAGAUGGCUUCGGCUAUCACUUUUGGAUGGUCCCGCGGCGUAUUAGCUAGAUGGUGGGGUAACGGCUCACCAUGGCAAUGAUACGUAGCCGACCUGAGAGGGUAAUCGGCCACAUUGGGACUGAGACACGGCCCAAACUCCUACGGGAGGCAGCAGUAGGGAAUCUUCCACAAUGGACGAAAGUCUGAUGGAGCAACGCCGCGUGAGUGAAGAAGGGUUUCGGCUCGUAAAACUCUGUUGUUAAAGAAGAACAUAUCUGAGAGUAACUGUUCAGGUAUUGACGGUAUUUAACCAGAAAGCCACGGCUAACUACGUGCCAGCAGCCGCGGUAAUACGUAGGUGGCAAGCGUUGUCCGGAUUUAUUGGGCGUAAAGCGAGCGCAGGCGGUUUUUUAAGUCUGAUGUGAAAGCCUUCGGCUCAACCGAAGAAGUGCAUCGGAAACUGGGAAACUUGAGUGCAGAAGAGGACAGUGGAACUCCAUGUGUAGCGGUGAAAUGCGUAGAUAUAUGGAAGAACACCAGUGGCGAAGGCGGCUGUCUGGUCUGUAACUGACGCUGAGGCUCGAAAGUAUGGGUAGCAAACAGGAUUAGAUACCCUGGUAGUCCAUACCGUAAACGAUGAAUGCUAAGUGUUGGAGGGUUUCCGCCCUUCAGUGCUGCAGCUAACGCAUUAAGCAUUCCGCCUGGGGAGUACGGCCGCAAGGCUGAAACUCAAAGGAAUUGACGGGGGCCCGCACAAGCGGUGGAGCAUGUGGUUUAAUUCGAAGCUACGCGAAGAACCUUACCAGGUCUUGACAUACUAUGCAAAUCUAAGAGAUUAGACGUUCCCUUCGGGGACAUGGAUACAGGUGGUGCAUGGUUGUCGUCAGCUCGUGUCGUGAGAUGUUGGGUUAAGUCCCGCAACGAGCGCAACCCUUAUUAUCAGUUGCCAGCAUUAAGUUGGGCACUCUGGUGAGACUGCCGGUGACAAACCGGAGGAAGGUGGGGAUGACGUCAAAUCAUCAUGCCCCUUAUGACCUGGGCUACACACGUGCUACAAUGGAUGGUACAACGAGUUGCGAACUCGCGAGAGUAAGCUAAUCUCUUAAAGCCAUUCUCAGUUCGGAUUGUAGGCUGCAACUCGCCUACAUGAAGUCGGAAUCGCUAGUAAUCGCGGAUCAGCAUGCCGCGGUGAAUACGUUCCCGGGCCUUGUACACACCGCCCGUCACACCAUGAGAGUUUGUAACACCCAAAGUCGGUGGG